CCCACUGACUUCGCAAUGUUUCAAUGAGAUUUUUUUAUUCUGGGGGAGAAGAGUAAAAACAAAUCAACCUCCUCUCCAACUCCCUCUCCCUGCACUCCAGCCCCACAGCAGCGCGGAACAACGCUGAGUACUAACAUUUCUUUUUCUCAGAUUCAACAAAAGUCAACAACAAAAAAAAAAAAGAAAUCAUCUCACAAAAAUCAUAAACUAAAAACAAGA